AAAAGAUUAGUUAAAUUAACAUUAGUAUGUCAUACUAAAAUUACUAGUACUUUAAUCUAGUAUCUUUUA
rnacentral:tRNA from 1 species